GCUCCUUUAGAAGCCGCUCAGCCCCUUUGUGAAGUAGGAAAAUAUUCCCCUGGUGCAAAAGCAGCAGACUAAGGAACUAAGGAAGGAAAAUCACUGGUUGUGCACUGAAUAAAUCUAACAAUAAAGCUCAACUGAUUUGACUUCCAUUAUACCCACGAGAUCAACUUGAAACAUAGACUGAAAAUACCUGUGAGAGCCCUUGGCAUAAUGCAUUGAAUCACAUGAGGAAAAAAUAUAAUUUCUUGUGAGGCUGAUGGGGAAGGGAUGCAACACUAACAUGUGGUUUGGGUCAGCCAGUGGACUAAUAAAAUAGGUCAUAAGGCUGCUAAGCAAUAAAAAAUAAAGUCAGUUUGAGUUUAGAAAGUAAGUUAGUGGGUAAGACAUAAACCAUUUUUGAGGAGUUCAGUAGAAAUAUCAAAAAACAGGCACUUGAUUUUUUUCAGAUCUUCACUAUGACUAAUUAGCAUCAGACAAUCCCUCAAAGAAAUUCAAUUUUUAUAUCUAAUCAUGCAUUUUUAGGGAUUUUUUAAAUCUAUUUUCCCACUGCUGUCCAAGAAAGAGUAGAAGGUAAGAAAAAGAACAUGUGUUGGAUCCAGAAAGUCUUCACCAGUCCUUCCCACGGUGCACACUUGAUUUUUCCCUUCCAUCUGUCUUUUGUCAGUGCCUCUGGAAAAACUACAGACAGCAGAAACCUCUUACACCCUGGAGGUCACCAUCUCUGGAAUUUGUUAGACAAGAUGCUUCAAUGCAUGUAGAAGCAUCCUAGAACAAUGAGAGUACUUUUGGACUGGUUUCCUUGGACAAGAAGCAGUAGAAGUUCCUUAAGAAACUCAACGAAGUAUAGAAGGUGAUUGAGUUGUACUGCUGCCAUUCAAGGGUCAGGUCUGUGAUGGUUUGGGAUAACUGGAGUAGUAAGAUUUGUCAAUGUCAAAGAAGAGAAAAGAUCUAUUUGUGAACAUAAAACACUCGGCUGGGGAACCAGUCAAAUCCAAAAUAUGUGGACUACACAAGAGAAAUAAGUAUUCUAUUAAGUGGAGGGAAAGAUAACUGGGGCUGAGGGAGAUGAGAGAUAAUCCUGGAGGACUCUAAUUUAAAAUCCGAGAAACAUGCAAAAAUCAGUGCUAAUGUGAG
rnacentral:lncRNA from 1 species